UCAUUCCAACAAAAGAUGAAGCAUGGACUUCGUCUGCUUCACUUCUAUGUGAGCUCAAGGAUUAUUCCUUUACAGGAGCUUAAGGUUACAACUGAUCGAUAGUUUUUUUUUUAAUGCAAGGUUUUUUUGUUUUGUCAUUUUGUUUGUUUGAGCGUUCUCUUAGGUUUUCAUUUCAUCAUAGGUUUUCUCUUGUGUAGGAAACUCUAGAUUUAUACUGUUGUCAAAAUCCAAUCUACGACCUAUGUGUGAUCCAAUUUCACAACGUGAGCCAUCACAAUGUCAAAUAUUGACUACAUUUCAUCUCUCUCAAAUGCCUACUUUUUCUUCCUCGUUUGUAAUCAAACAAUCUACUGUGAUUACUCCUUCUACUAACGUGAGCCAUCACAAUGUCAAUUUCUUUAAUCCACACCACAACCUUUUAAUGGUUCUUCCACUAGACUCUUUGCUGCUCCAAAAAAGAAAACGGAAGAGAUUAUAAGUGCUGUUAAGGAAGAGCGUAAACCAUUACAAGAAGAUGAAGAAGAAGUUGAAGAGGAUAUACCAUGGAUUCAAGAGAAAGUUCAGUGACUCAAGCUUUACCUAGUCCUAGAGUUGGUCAAAGUAAAUUACCAUGGCUUCUUUAAGGAUUACGCUUUUUACUGCGUUUGUUAAGACUGUUUCAGAAGUUUAAUUCGUCUUAAGAGAAUGACGAAAAUUGGUGAAUAAGAAUGCUAGUUACUCAUAUCAAUAGAUGAGUUGUUUCAGAAGGGAAGAGAUGCAGUGGAAUCAGCCAGUCGUAAGGAGCCUAUGCAAAAGACAGGUUUUGGAAUGGAGGAAAUCUUGAGGAAGUAUAUCGGCAUGCAAUGAAUGAAAAGCCCUUCAAUCCGGAUAUGGUAGCUAAUCUAAUCCAACUCAGAAAAUCUUCAAUGCUGAAUGACAGUGAGGUUGCUGAAAUUCUAAAUGAGAUUUCAAGACGAUUUGUACGGGAUAAAGGUCCUGUUGUCAUGGAUAUUUCAGGAUACUAAGAGAAGGGUUUCAAGAGAAAAUUUGCUGCGCAGGCCCUUUUCGGGAAGAUUUUUUUUAUCUAUCCGAGCUACCAGAGUUCGGUUCGAGGGAAAGCUCCUUGAUCAUAAAGGACAUAUUUGGCGCUACAGAUGAAGAUGCAAUUACUCUGCGGGCGCAUACUCUGUCUGAGGCUGGGGAUGUGGAGUCACUACAUAGGAUGCUUGGAAAUUCGAAUCCUCAAGAACCCAAUGAAGGAUUAAUGCCUAAGAUACCUCAAAUAUUCAAAUGCAGGGACAUGAGUCGUAGAACAGUGUUAGGUUUAGCUUGAUGUUCCUUUAGCAAACCGUCAGCAACAUCAUCUUCAAUUACUUUUGGUUGUAUAUACUGAUAAGAUUUUGGUAAGUCUCUUUCCCCUUACCCAAUACUCAGUUACAUAUGCAUUUUUGCCGAACAAUCAGUGACUAUU